GGCAUGUCCAAAACAUCAUUGCCGUAUUCAUCAAAGAUCGACAAUAUAGCUACCAUAUAGCAAAGACCCAGAUAGACAGAUGACUCCUGUUACAGCAACAACACCGGCAUAAAAACCAAGAAUAAUGCCAGCCAACAUGGAUGCCAACAUAGCUCCAGCAACAACAAAAGGCCACAAUAAGAUUGCAAGACCUGCAAAUGGGACACAAAUACUUUCCAAAAACGGGCCUUCUCGGCCUAUACAAUCUUGAAACAAACGCUGCCACCCUCGUAGCAACAUAUACGGGAUUUUAAGGGCUGCAAUAACUGUCAUCAUUGGAAAGUCAAACGCAAACCCUAUCAACCCAACAAAGAGCGCUAUAAGAACAUAAAGCACCCUAAUUUCAAUUUUACCCUCUGGGGGAGGUUCUUGUUUCCGGAGAUCAUUCGUCGCCGAGAAGUAUGAAUAUAAACAUACAUCCUUCAAGUCCCUAACAAAGAUUAAACUCCCCUUGAUU
rnacentral:lncRNA from 1 species